UGGAUAUAGAACAUAUAUUUAUAUAUAAAUAUACAAGUAUACAAAGAAACUAUUAUGGAAAUCUGGCUAUGUAUUAAAGGGUAUGAUUUAUUUACUCAAAUUAGGAAUUUAGUGGUUUUCGCCCUAAAAACUUAUUUUAAAUAUAAACCCUAAGAGAAGUUUUUUAAUAAACGAAGUGAAUUGAAAUAUCUUAGUAACUUCAGGAAAAGAAAUCAAAAGAGAUUCUAUAAGUAGCGUGAGUGAAAGUAGAGGAGCCUAUUUAAUAACAAGUAAAAUGGUUUAGAAACUGUUUGAAUUUAUUGCUUGAUCCCUGUAAGGGAAAGGGCCCGGGGAACCUUCCUCAAAGGCUAAAUAUAAUACAUAAGCGAUAGUGAAUAGUAUCGUGAGAUAAUGAUUAGAAUUAGUAGUUUUAUAAGCAGUUCGAGCUAAAGUGAGAACGUACCUUUUGCAUAAUGGGUCACCAAGUUAACAUUAGAUGCGAGUGAAAGCGUAGGUAAACCAAUCGUUAAAAUAACGAAGAGUGUCUAAAGUUAGACCCGAAGCCUGGUGAUUUUACCAUAAUCAGGAUUAUAAAAGUCCGAACGGGUUAUCGUUGUAAAGAUAUCCGAAGAAUUAUGGUAGGUAGUGAAAGACAACACUGACUAGGAUAGCUGGUUUUCUGCGAAACCUAUAACAGUAGGCAAUUUGAGUAACAUCUUAGCAGGUACAGAAUUUAAUCUCAGACAAGAUGUUCUAAUUUUAGUUCGGCGACGAACUAAAACAACAUGUUGAUUUGUAUAUAUCGGGGGAUCGUGAAGAUUUUAUCGGUGAGUAUGUAGACUCGGAAUGGCAAAGAUGGAUCUUGAAUUAUCAGACAUAGAAUGAUAAGGUUGUAUGUCAAAAGGGAAACAGCCCAGAACAAGAGUUAAGGUUCCAAAAUUAUUAGUUAAGUGAAAUUAAGAAGGUUAUUAUUAAAGUCGACAAGGAGAUGGGCUUAGAAGCAGCCAAAUUUUGAAGACCUCGUAACAGAGCGCUUGUUAAGUUUUAAAAGCAUCGAAAAUUUAACGGAUCUAAACAAUAUACCGACACCUUGUCCAUAUUUUACUAUAUAUAUUAUUGUAAUUUAGUGGGGUAGCAGAACGUUGAAUUAAAUUAGGAUAUUUCUUCUGUGAAGAAAUAUAUAACAAACAAUUCAAGUGAGAAUGGUGACAUGAGUAACGAAUAAGAAGGACAUUUUACCGAAAAAGCCUAGUAAAAUCUCUACGUAUCAUAACUAUGGUAAAUAGGGAUUCCCUUCCUCUGGGAGGGAUCGCCUCUUUUAAGAGUAGUAAUCUUCUUUAUGAUGAUUACUUAGAGUUACUAGGUAUUUGAGUAAGUACUAAAUCCUCCGCCUAAAGCUUAUGGAUGGAAAAAUAUGCCCCUUAAAGUAACGGCCUCUAAGUUAUAAAUCUAAAGGUUUAAACGAUGAGAAAAUCUUUUUUACUAAAUGACAACACUUACAAGUGAUAAGUGUGCUGGAAAAAAUAGUAAUAUAUUUUGUUAAGUAUAUACAAUAAACUAAAGAGAUGAGUAUAGAAAGAGAAGAUGAAAAAAUAACCGUACCUAGAAACUAAAACAAGUAAGCUAGUAGAGAAUACGAAGGCGUAAAUGAGCUAACAAUCAUAAAGGAACUCGGCAAACUAACUACCGUAACUUCGGGAUAAGGAGAGCUCAUUAGUCCUGAUUAAUAUCGGGUAAAAAGGAAGAAGCAUAAAAUAGUGUUGUACGACUGUUUAAUUAAAACACAGCACUUUGCUAAAAGAUUAAAAAUCGAAGUAUUGAGUGUGAUGUCUGCCCGAUGCCGGCUGGUUAACGAAUAUAACUAAAUUGAUCAAUAAAUUUGGUGUUGAAGGAACCCCCGGUUAAUGGCGGCCUUAACGUGAGGGUCCUAAGGUAGCGAAAUGCCUUGGCCGUUAAAUGCGGUCUUGCAUGAAUGAUGUAACGAUACAACAGCUGUCUCUAUGAUUGACUCAGUGAAAUUGGAAUAACUGUGCAGAUACAGUUUACCUCUAGUUAGACGAGAAGACCCUAUGCAGCUUUACUGUUACUAAUUAUAGGGUAUGAUGAAUUAAUUUUCAGAUUAUAAGGUACAUUGAUUCAAUAAAAAUGAAAAUCCUUUAUUUUCACGUCAUACUUCAGAAUUAAUUUUGGAAAUUCACCUGGCUGGAAUGGCGACUUCGUCAUUUAGGCGGGAGUGAAAGAAAAGAUUAACCUAGUCUGACAUAUAAGUAGCCUUAGGUAAGGAAUAUAUUGUUAGGAGACAGUUUAUGUGGGGCACAGACCCCUUAAAGAGUAAAAGGGAGUGUCUAAAAUUUAUUUGUUAUAAAAUUUAUAACGUUGUUUGUGGUUUUAUGUAGUUUUACUAUAUUUAAUCUUAUGAAAUUCACUUUAUCUACCCUUGUUGUAGAUACGGAUGGAUCUAAGGUACGAUUUUCACUAUGGUGAAAGUAGCGGUAUAGAAAAAAAUAUUAUGAAUAGCGACGUCGUCGCUAUUCUAAUGUUUUUGGAGUUAUUAAGGUGACUGGUCGGAAAAUCUCCCCCCCGCUCUUAAUAAUAAUGAUAAAUACUUGAAAAGCUCAACGGCUAAUUCGUGCCAUACUGUUUGAUUAACAACAAAUCUUACAGUUGCGUAAGCAGGGCAUAGGAUCACAAGAUGCAAAAAGGAAAGAUCUUGGAUUAUUGGAAAAGCUACGCUAGGGAUGUUUGUCCUUCAAUAUUUUUAAACUCUCGACCUAGCCUCAGGGCCGUAAGGCCGGAGGCGAAAGGGAGAAAAGUUAAAAUUAUUGAGAAUAUAUUGGGUUAAUUUCAAGAAUUACUUAUAUAAGUAGAUUUGAAGCGAAAUUUAUCUUGGCAUAAUUAUAUAAGAUAAAAUCGUUCAACGACUAUAAGGUGAGUUAUGCUAACAAUAAUCCUUUUUAACACCCAACAUUUUUAUUACCAUACACUUAUAAAAAAAAAGAUAAAAAGAAAGAAAAUUUCAUUUUAUGAAAACGAAAGCUCUAAAUACAAAUGCUAAAAUUUUUCGUUCUAAUUUAAACAAUAAGUUUAAAUUAACACCGUUUAAUCUUCAAUUAAAUGAUUUAGGUAGAGUAAAAUACUUACCUCCUGUAUCUAAAGAAUGAAAAAAUACAAUCUAUUCAUAUUAUAAAAAAAAUAUGCAAAACUUACCUGUAGAUAGUAUAAAUGCGAAUAAAGUAAUACAAAGUUAUUUUAAUUUAUAUUUUGAUAAUAAAUUUCAAGGAUCAAGAUUGAUAUCUCCUAAAACAAGAAGUUUAUUAUUAAAAAAAAUCUAUGUAAGUAAAAUGGAAACAAAACAUACAAAUUCUAAAGCUAUAGUAACUUUAUACACUAUUAAUGCAGAGAAGAAUAAUGUAACUAUUUAUUAAUAUAUCUUACAUUUUUUUUACCUUAGUACUACAAAGUAGCCGGUUCCAUACGGCGAUUUUUGUCGAGGUGGCAUAAUUCACUACCAGCGAGGAGCUUGCGCUCUUAGUGUUGAGCAAUGAAUCACGUGCCAGCCGUCACGGUAAUACGUGAGGUACUAUAACUAAAGGGGCUAAUAAAGCCUAUCAUAUAAAUGAAAGCCA
rnacentral:rRNA from 1 species